rnacentral:rRNA from 1 species
UACGACGGUGGCAAGCGUUACUCGGAAUUACUAGGCGUAAAGGGCAGGUAGGCGGUUCGGUAAGUCUGUUGUGUAAGCUCCCGGCUUAACUGGGAGAGGUCAACGGAAACUACCGGACUUGAGUAUAGGAGAGGUUACUGGAAUUCCCGGUGUAGCGGUGAAAUGCGCAGAGAUCGGGAGGAACACCAAUGGCGAAAGCAGGUAACUGGACUAUUACUGACGCUCAGCUGCGAAAGCUAGGGGAGCAAACAGG